rnacentral:rRNA from 1 species
CCUACGGGAGACAGCAGUGGGGGAUAUUGCACAAUGGGGGGAACCCUGAUGCAGCGACGCCGCGUGGGUGAAGAAGCGCCUCGGCGCGUAAAGCCCUGUCAGCAGGGAAGAAAAUGACGGUACCUGAAGAAGAAGCCCCGGCUAACUACGUCCCAGCAGCCGCGGUAAUACGUAGGGGGCAAGCGUUAUCCGGCUUUACUGGGUGGAAAGGGGGCGCAGACGGCGAUGCAAGCCAGGAGUGAACGCCCGGGGCCCAACCCCGGGACUGCGCUUGGAACUGCGUGGCUGGAGUGCAGGAGGGGCAGGCGGAAUGCCUGGUGUAGCGGUGAAAUGCGUAGAUAUCAGGAGGAACACCGGUGGCGAAGGCGGCCUGCUGGACUGCAACUGACGUUGAGGCCCGAAAGCGUGGGGAGCAAACAGGAUUAGAUACCCCAGUAGUC